CCUACGGGCGGCAGCAGUGGGGAAUAUUGGACAAUGGGGGGAACCCUGAUCCAGCCAUGCCGCGUGUGUGAAGAAGGCCCUCGGGUUGUAAAGCACUUUCAGUGAGGAAGAACGCCUGGUGGUUAAUACCCAUCAGGAAAGACAUCACUCACAGAAGAAGCACCGGCUAACUCCGUGCCAGCAGCCGCGGUAAUACGGAGGGUGCGAGCGUUAAUCGGAAUUACUGGGCGUAAAGCGCGCGUAGGUGGCUUGAUAAGCCGGUUGUGAAAGCCCCGGGCUCAACCUGGGAACGGCAUCCGGAACUGUCAAGCUAGAGUGCAGGAGAGGAAGGUAGAAUUCCCGGUGUAGCGGUGAAAUGCGUAGAGAUCGGGAGGAAUACCAGUGGCGAAGGCGGCCUUCUGGACUGACACUGACGCUGAGGUGCGAAAGCGUGGGUAGCAAACAGGAUUAGAUACCCUGGUAGUC
rnacentral:rRNA from 1 species